UCUCUUUAAUCGUCAGUGACUUGAGCUCUUACCUCUGCCCUUUCACCUCCUGCUGCUUUCUUAUCUUGUGUCAAUCAGGGCCCAGUCUGGAAACUAAUGGUGUAUCUAAUCUGACUGUUUAGGAAAACUUUCAUGAAUAAACAACUGACAAACGUUAAGUUCACAGAAGACCAUUGUUAAACUCCAAAAGUUUCUCUACAUGCAGAGUUUCUGUAGGAGUUCCUAGUUCAAAUUCCACACUGCACACAGAGCUGGAGCUUAUGAAGGGAUGGCCAAGUCCUGGAUGUAACUUCUGAAACCACCUAAAGCAUUCUUGGGAAUAUGUUGGGCUGUGAGGUCUGGGGAGCAAGUGAAGUCCUGAGUGUGCAGAAGUGCAUGGGACAAUCUUGAUAAUGCACCAGGGCCACUUCUGUCUGAUUGAAGUGGCUUUGAAGAAAGGGACAGGACCACGAUGCAAGUUGGUGACUCCCCCGUCCUGGUCCAUCCCUCCCUCCACACACACCCCAUCCAAACCCUGACUUACUUGGUCCAAUCUUAAGAAGGAAAGUACUGAGAGGGAAGGAAGAGACUUCAUGUUUUUUCCUGAUUCACUAAUGAUGUUGUCAAAGGCUCUGGGUGAGAUACUUAAUUUCUCUGUCUCCUGGUUUGCUGUCUGUAAAAGGGUGACCCUAAUGCCAGGUUCCUGUGGGGACUGUGACAGACCGCAUUACAAAAGAGGCUCUCUUGGAUACUUCAGUCCCCACCCUUAGAGUUCAGUUUCUUCAUCUGUAAAACAAAGCAAUGGACUAGAAGUUCUCAGGUUCCGCCCAGCUCUCUCCUUCUGUAUUCUCUCAGGGGGAGGAGGUAAAAAGGGAAUGGGGGAAGAGAACUUUGAACUAAACCGGAUGACAGGACUGCUCUUCCAGAAGAGGCACAGUGCUGUGCAAGCAGCAUCUGUGAGGUAUGCCUCAGUUCUCCUUCCAAACUUGUUUUUCCCAGGGGUUUCCUGAGGCCUCUCAAGCAGGCUCUCGAAACUGACCUGAAAUAUUCACAACUUGAACCAUCAGGAAGGAUUACUUUGAUUCUGUCUGAAAUCUUCCCUGCAUUUGGUAAGACAGAACAAAGAAAGAAAAAAAAAUUACUGAAGGAAAUGAAUAGGAUAGUAUUAUCUAUAAAAGACAAUUUGGAAACUAGAUGAAGAUACAAGGGGUCUGUUUUACUAUUGUCACUACCUAUAUGGAUAUUUGAAAAGCCUCCUAAUAAAAUGGUUUCUUGAAAGAAUAUCUGAAAAUCUGUAGCUGUAAACCAGUAAUUUUCAAAUGCUCUUUUUCACCAUGAUAGACACACACACACACACACACACACACACACACACACAAACCCACAUUUAUGUUGCAAUCCAGUACAUAAACAUAUAGACUAAAACCAAGUUCCACAAAACAUUAUUCACCCUCACCAUGCACCACACCAUACACAACAUACCCUGAUGUUUUCUAUUUUCUGCCCUGCUUCUUUAAAAAAAUGUUGGUUGGAACCUACUCAACUCAUUUCAAGAAUCAUUUAAUGGCUCGUGACCUACAGUUUGAAAAACACAGUUCCAAACAGUAUCAACUCAUUCUGGUGGGCAAUUGAAUACUUGCCUGCUGGCCUGGGCCAGCAGGAGAGUAAUGACUAUUUGGAGAGGGAUUGAAACAGAAUGAGCAGUUAUGGAUAUUUGCCCAGCCUUCUUGGAAAAGCCUGACCCUGGUCUGGUGAUGGGGGCAUCAUCAGGGCUUAGCAAAAUGAGAGCGUUUCAUAAGCUACCAUUUCUGUGUACAUGGCCCACUUGCCCAACUUUUCUUACACGGGCUUAUUUGCUUCUAGAAUCUGUCCUGCCAACCCGCAGCCAUGGCCUGCUGCUUCUUCCCCACUCGCCUCCCAUUUCUGCCUUCUCAGAGGCACAAACCAGUCCUCAGGCAUGUUUCCAAUUUGCUGGGGAUUAUGAAUUUAUAUCCUGUCCUCUCUUUCCUCUUCUCUUCCCCCCAAAUGGUGACUGUCCCCCCAAGCCCAGGGUCAUUAACAAAAGCAACAUCUUCAAAGAGAAGGGAUGAGGACAUGACUGAGAUUCGCUCAGUACUUAAAUCCCAUUGAAGUACCCAGGUCAGGCCUGGCAAGCAGGGGACAGACAGCCUGCAUCUGGAAAAGAGAAGGUUUAGGGCACAUUUGACUUCAAUAUUUAAAAACCAAGGGCCCAGCUGUUCAGUUCUUCAACAAAUAGCACUAAAAUACCUCCUGUAGAGGAAGGAAAGAAUUUUAGGACAGAAUCAUUAAUUCAAAGGACAUCAAGAAAAUACAGAGUAGACAUCAUCCUGAUCUACUAUUUAAAAAGAUAACUUUAGGGAUGCAAUUUUACAAUGCUUUAUAAACAGGUCCACCAAUCCAGGAGUGUUAUAUAUGUGAAAUGUUUACUAACUGGAAACAAAUGUUUACAUUGGAUAAACUACCUCCUAAAAAGUCCAUUUCCUCUGUUCAUGCAAAUGUUGCUAUUUGUGCAGAGUGGAAGGGCAUUUCCACUUCUCCUACCACAAAAGCUGUAUUUCUUUCAAUAUUAAGGUUAAUGAGGGCUGGGGCCCUGUAAUCUACAUGAGUAGGUUAAUUCUCAUGUGUCCUAGAUAGUUGAGAGAGAAAGAGAUUUAGAACUUUGGCUGAAGGGAGAUGCACACACUGCCUGCAGUGAAUGCAUGCAAAGAAGCAAAGAACACUCUGUAGAAGGAUCUCUAUACCUCAGCUCCUCCAUCUACAAGGCAGAGAUGCUGAAUGUGACCCCAUACUCCCCUGUGCAUGAAUGAGAAGUUCCAGUUCAAAGGAGGCACUGCUCAUUCUAAUCCUGUGGGGACCCAAGCUGAUGGAGGCUUCAAUUCGUCAUGUGACUAUUGUACUAGAUUUUCAAUUCCUUGUAUCAUGCUUCUUUCUCUUAAGAGUUUGAAUAUAUAUUUUAUAUUUUAUGUCCUCCCUAUUAAGAUUUAUAUUUGGAGUAAACACUCAUCAAGUUCUUCCUGCUGAAAUGCUCAUCCCUACCAACCUACGGUUUUCUUUUUAAAAACUGGAAUCCUCAUACUCUAUUUCAGUGAUGGAGCUCCCUUUUAUGUAUUAACAUCAAACCAGUUAUUAUAACACAAUGGAAUUGACACUAGAGUAGUGGGUAUAAAGGAGACUAUGGCUACCCUUUACUGUAAGAUUUAAACACAUUUAAAAUAAGUUGCUUUAACUUGAGAGGAGGCUCAAUGUGGUAUGAAAAGUGCUUCCUACACUGAGAAUUCAGGAAGCCAGUUUAGAUUUUAUGAAAAGGCCCUGUAAUGUAGGGCCAUGGUGAUUAUUAAUUGAACUCUUUGAACCCUAUAUCCCGAAGUCAUGACGUUAUUUAGGUCCCUCUCUCCUUUGGCAUGUGAAGGUUUACAUUCUCAGCCUUUGGAGUAUGUGCUGCCUAAACUGUCUAGCUGCUCUUGGACUGUUGAGUUAUUCAGUAAGGAUCUCUGCUCACUAGGCCAUUCUGGAUCCAAAUGCCAGAAUUCACCUUCUUUAAAUAUCAUUCAGUGGAUCACUUCACCUCUCAGAAAACAUACCAGCAGAAAACACACAUGCUGUCAUAUCAAAUCCAAAUUCCCACACCUGUUUUUCAAUUCUUAUGCACAUACAUACAAACACGUGUGUGCGUAUAAUGUGUAAUAUAUAUCACAUACACUGUAUAUAAAUAAAUAUAUGUAAAUGUAAAAAUAUUAAUGGUAAUGAUUAUAGAGCAUUAACUAAGGUCCUACUAUGUGUCAAGGUCUGAGCAUGGUAUCAACUUUAUUCCAUUUAAUCUUCACAGCAACUUUGAAGGGCGGUUCUAGCGUCAUCUGUGUUUUAUAGGCAAGGACACUGCUCUCCUGUGUCUCCAAAACCCAUGCCCUAGCCCUCAUCCUACUGGGUCCCAAUCAAGCGGAUUGUUGCCUCCCCACCACACACUCUCUGAGUCAGGUCUCCCCACCACUUUCAUGUCCCUCAAACCACUCUCUGCCCAUUCAGUCUCCCUCCCAUUCUCCCAAACCCUUACCACUUUUCAAGACUCAAGGCAAACCCCAUCUUUAGGUAACGCCCUCUCUCCCAUGUAGGACUGGAGCUGCAUUUAAAUUACCUUGAAAUUUUAAUUUCCUUGAAAACACCUAGCCCAGCCAAGCCAUCAGUCUGGGUAGCCUCAAUGGCUGCUCCCUCUUCUUGCCUGCCUCAUCCAGCCCACCGCACACCCUGUCAUUGCUGCUUAUGAAACCCAUCUUGACCCUAUCUACACUUCUCCCCAUCUUCACAGAUUCCUCCAGAUCCAAGACCUAGCAUCUCCUGCCCGCAUCAAUGUAAGAGCUCCUAGAUUUUAUGUGCCUUCACUCUUGUUUCUCCAGUCCAGUCCCCACAAGGUACCUAGAAUAAGGUUUUAAAAUAUGUUUUAUAUUUGUAAGCUUAAAACCCUUUAACAUCAUUCUGUUACCUUUAGAAUAGAAGCCAAACUUUAUCAUGGUCCAGAGGCCCUGUAUAAUGGGUGUUAUGACCACCUCUCCAGUGGCACUUAAUCUACCAACCCCUUCAUCCCUCAUCACAUUCAUCCACUAGGUUCCUCUCACUUCUUUCAACACAGUAAACUCUUCCACAUCUGGGUCUUUACAGAUGCUAUUUCUACUGCCGACUUUUCCCAUUCUUCAGAACUCAGAUUUAAUGUUGCCUUUACAAAGAGGCUUUCCCUGACAGUCUUACCUAAUUGGAAUCUUCCUCUCUACUAGAAUCCCCAUUCACUGCACUCUGCUAUUUCCUCCUUGGGCUGAGAUCAAGUUCUAUCUAUGUAUAUGUAGAUUUGGACAUUUGUUCUUCCCCCAGCGCCACCCCAACACAUAAACACACUGGACCACUGAAAUGUAAGCCACAUGAGUAUUCUGGCCAUGUCUGCUUUGUCCCCAGCACUCAGUACAAAGAUCCCAAUAAGCAUAUGUUGGCUUAAUCAAUCAAUCAAACAAAGAAUCAAUUCUUCCAACUAGAUUUAAACUAUUUGACAGGAUAAUUUUCUUUUUCUCC